GGGAUAUGUGAUGUGCUGCGACACCUUCCGGGGGGGAUUGGUAUGUUCUGAGGAUGUGGCAUGUCAUGUGUCCCCUUCCUGGAAGAAAUGAGUGCUGUGAUGUGGAAGGAUAUAGCCCUACAGCAAAAGAGAAUCCGCCCGCAAAAUGAUACAACCUAUGUAGUGUUAUACUACCCAUCCAGCUUCCUCUAUCUAUUUUAUACAUUUUAAAACAUAUUCGAUUUGGCUCUCUAAGGCUCUGGAGAAGAGGAAAACCCUUGAAACGCGUUAGUCAAUUAUUCGAGUAUCUCUUGUGUGGAUAACACCACAUAUCAAUCUACCACGUUUCUAACAUUGCUUUUUAUUUCUAUAUACAAAUACGUAGUAUGUCUUUGUAUAUACCCGUUUUGUUUAUAAUAAACUCCUUGUUUCAAUGAUUCAUG